rnacentral:rRNA from 2 species
UACGUAGGGGGCAAGCGUUGUCCGGAAUCAUUGGGCGUAAAGCGCGUGUAGGCGGCCAGGUAAGUCCGUUCUGAAAGCCCGGGGCUCAACCCCGGGAGGCGGAUGGAUACUGCUUGGCUCGAGUCCGGAAGAGGCGAGUGGAAUUCCCGGUGUAGCGGUGAAAUGCGCAGAUAUCGGGAGGAACACCAAUGGCGAAGGCAGCUCGCUGGGACGGUACUGACGCUGAGACGCGAAAGCGUGGGGAGCAAACAGG